rnacentral:misc_RNA from 1 species
UCCGAGUUGACCCCGGCAGUCUCCUAUGAGUCCCCGGCAUUAUCCGCUGGCAACAUAGGACGAGGGUUGCGCUCGUUGCGGGACUUAACCCAACAUCUCACGACACGAGCUGACGACAGCCAUGCAGCACCUGUGCACGGACUCCGAAGAGGGGCUCCCCUUUCUGAGAGCUUUCCCCAGCAUGUCAAGCCUAGGUAAGGUUCUGCGCGUUGCGUCGAAUUAAUCCACAUAAUCCACCGCUUGUGCGGGUCCCCGUCAAUUCCUUUGAGUUUUAACCUUGCGGCCGUACUCCCCAGGCGGUCGACUUCACGCGUUAGCUUCGUUACUGAGAGUGUCAAACCCCCAACAACCAGUCGACAUCGUUUAGGGCGUGGACUAC